ensembl:snRNA U6 U6 spliceosomal RNA
CUGCUCGCAUCAGCAGCACAUAUGCUAAAAUUGGAAUGAUACAGAGAAGGUUAGCAUGGCCUCUGAGCAAGGAUGAUAUGCAAAUUCAUGAAGAAUUCCACAUUAGA